rnacentral:rRNA from 1 species
UACGGAGGGGGCUAGCGUUGUUCGGAAUUACUGGGCGUAAAGCGCGCGUAGGCGGACCUGCAAGUCGGGGGUGAAAGCCCGAGGCUCAACCUCGGAACUGCCUUCGAUACUGCGGGUCUCGAGUCCGGUAGGGGAGCGUGGAAUUCCUGGUGUAGCGGUGAAAUGCGCAGAUAUCAGGAGGAACACCAGCGGCGAAGGCGGCGCUCUGGGCCGGAACUGACGCUGAGGAGCGAAAGCGUGGGUAGCAAACAGG